rnacentral:rRNA from 1 species
UACGUAGGGUGCGAGCGUUGUCCGGAAUUAUUGGGCGUAAAGAGCUCGUAGGCGGCUUGUCGCGUCGGAUGUGAAAGCCCGGGGCUUAACCCCGGGUCUGCAUUCGAUACGGGCAGGCUAGAGUGUGGUAGGGGAGAUCGGAAUUCCUGGUGUAGCGGUGAAAUGCGCAGAUAUCAGGAGGAACACCGGUGGCGAAGGCGGAUCUCUGGGCCAUUACUGACGCUGAGGCGCGAAAGCUGGGGGAGCGAACGGG